GCAAUGGGGGGGUGCUAAUACAUGCAAGUCGAGCGGACAGAUGGGAGCUUGCUCCCUGAUGUUAGCGGCGGACGGGUGAGUAACACGUGGGUAACCUGCCUGUAAGACUGGGAUAACUCCGGGAAACCGGGGCUAAUACCGGAUGGUUGUUUGAACCGCAUGGUUCAAACAUAAAAGGUGGCUUCGGCUACCACUUACAGAUGGACCCGCGGCGCAUUAGCUAGUUGGUGAGGUAACGGCUCACCAAGGCAACGAUGCGUAGCCGACCUGAGAGGGUGAUCGGCCACACUGGGACUGAGACACGGCCCAGACUCCUACGGGAGGCAGCAGUAGGGAAUCUUCCGCAAUGGACGAAAGUCUGACGGAGCAACGCCGCGUGAGUGAUGAAGGUUUUCGGAUCGUAAAGCUCUGUUGUUAGGGAAGAACAAGUACCGUUCGAAUAGGGCGGUACCUUGACGGUACCUAACCAGAAAGCCACGGCUAACUACGUGCCAGCAGCCGCGGUAAUACGUAGGUGGCAAGCGUUGUCCGGAAUUAUUGGGCGUAAAGGGCUCGCAGGCGGUUUCUUAAGUCUGAUGUGAAAGCCCCCGGCUCAACCGGGGAGGGUCAUUGGAAACUGGGGAACUUGAGUGCAGAAGAGGAGAGUGGAAUUCCACGUGUAGCGGUGAAAUGCGUAGAGAUGUGGAGGAACACCAGUGGCGAAGGCGACUCUCUGGUCUGUAACUGACGCUGAGGAGCGAAAGCGUGGGGAGCGAACAGGAUUAGAUACCCUGGUAGUCCACGCCGUAAACGAUGAGUGC
rnacentral:rRNA from 1 species